CCCAAGCUGCAUCAAGAUGACCUGGAGGGCUGCUUGGACCACAGCUUGCUGCCCCCGCUCCCUGCCCCCAGCUCCCAGUGAAUACCAGGCCCCUGUCUGAGGAUUACGCCCUGAGAGCCUCUGAGCUGGCGUCUGUACUCUGCUUGGAUGAGAAAGCAAAAGAGUGAGAAUUGUAAAACACGCAUCAAGGAUUGUCAGGUCCUAAAAGCAACGCUAGAACAUUUUCUCAAGGACUGUUCAGAGGCUGUGAAGUACGUUCUCCCAGUCUUGACAGGUCGCACACCCCAGGCAGCGUGAAGGAUGGUGAGGAAUUCUGGAUGGGACUGAAGAGGCAACCGGGAGAAAUUGCGGAAGAAUUGGCCUUUGCUGUGACCACUCCCCUCCCCCUCCCCCGCAGAAGCCCAAAGGAGGGGAUUUCAGCAACGUGGGGAGCCGUGGUCCCCUAGGACUUGGGGGGUUAAUGGCACGGCUAGACUCCUUAGUUCAGCAAGUGGGCUCAGGCGUCACAGCAGCUGGUGUGAACGUCAGCUCUGCUUCCUGCAGCAACGUGAGCUUGGGUGUGGCCCUCCGUCUCCUCGCCUUCGCUUCCUGAUCUGUUGAGUGGGGUCACUGAGGACCCACAUCCCAAGACUGUUGUGAGGACUUAAUGAUGUUUGUGAAGCAGAGUGGUUCUGACAUGUGGUAGGGCUACGUGUGCUAGAACUUGGCUAGCUAACCCUGAGCGCCAGGGAAGGUUUCUGUCUCUGGGGAAGCAGCAGAGAACUAAAGUAUCCAGGCCUUUGUGAUUCCCAGAGUUGUCAGCUGUGACCUGAACAUCUCUGAUUUCAAGACGCUUCAUCUUUAAAUAUCUUUCCAGUUCUGAAAUUCUAUGAAAAAACUUCAAAGUCCUGGCGGCCCUGGAGUGGAGCUGGGGUGAUGGAGGGGACCUACUCCAGCCCCUUGGCUGGCCUGCGCACGG